AAUAAUAAUAAUAAUAAUGAAACCUGAGAAACAUAUUAUUUCUCAAGGAUGACUGGUCCCUAAACUUGACAUCACUAAAGUAUAAGAAUAAGGAAAUCCAUUCAUUUAACAACUUAAAUGAAAUUUCAUUCAAGAUCUUGGACCCUAUUUUAUUAUUAAAGCAAACAUGCAAGUCUCUUCUGAUAUGCUUCAAACUUUCAAUUACUAGACACUAACAGCGCCAGUGAAAAAAAAAAGGAAGGAUAAAAAAGAAGGAAAAAGAAAGCUUGAUACGGUACAAGGAAAGAUAUUAUAUAUGAUGAUAAGAGAGAGAAAUCAAAACA
rnacentral:misc_RNA from 1 species